GUGAAAAGUGCUGGGAGAAGGGUCCAGAGAUCAAAAGGAGACAAAAAUGUUAACAGAUCUUCCUGAGAACAAGAAUGUGGCAGCAGGAGGGAGACUUGUCAGAGCCAUCCAGGGUGACAGCAUGGAGGGCAGAGAGAGACCUACAUACUCUAUAAGAACCCAGAAAGGCUCCAGAAGAAGAUGUUGCAGCCUUGAGCAGCUUCUCUCCCUGUGCCAUGCCUGGAAAAGUACUGUGUGUAAGACUGACAGAGUCAGUGGAGCCUUCUUUAAAUGCCCCCAAGGCUUGGAAAACAAAGAUUGCUCUAAGAUAUCUAACGCUGACCGCCUCUAACGAGAUGAACUCGGGGUUAUUCCCUCUCGCCGUUCCCUGCACGACUGCUUAACCUCAACCUCUCCACGAAUGUUUAUCCUCGCCCUGGGAUGGGAGAUCCAGUCCCCAAACUUCAGCCCUCGCCCAAAGGGAGAAACAAGCUCGGAGAGCAGGAAGGAAGUGGGAGAAAGAGGGGAAGUGUCCCCGAAGUCAGCGUCUGGCCUGGGCUGCGCCGUUUCCACACACCUUUGUCAGGGAGGGAACAGGGAGGGAUGGAGUUCAGCCUCUGGGUUACAGUAUAUCCCCCACGCCGUGCCCGU